AGCGAACGCUGGCGGCAGGCUUAACACAUGCAAGUCGAGCGGGCAUCCUUGUGGUGUCAGCGGCAGACGGGUGAGUAACGCGUGGGAACGUGCCCUUCGGUUCGGAAUAACUCAGGGAAACUUGAGCUAAUACCGGAUACGUGCGAGAGCAGAAAGGUUUAUCUGCCGAAGGAUCGGCCCGCGUCUGAUUAGCUAGUUGGUGAGGUUAUGGCUCACCAAGGCGACGAUCAGUAGCUGGUCUGAGAGGAUGAUCAGCCACACUGGGACUGAGACACGGCCCAGACUCCUACGGGAGGAAGCAGUGGGGAAUAUUGGACAAUGGGGGCAACCCUGAUCCAGCCAUGCCGCGUGAGUGAUGACGGCCUUAGGGUUGUAAAGCUCUUUUCUUCGGGACGAUAAUGACGGUACCGGAGGAAUAAGCCCCGGCUAACUUCGUG
rnacentral:rRNA from 1 species